AAACAUGUCUUUUUGAGUUAAAUUUAAAGUCUGACCUGCCCACUGAAUAAUUUUAAAUGGCCGCAGUAUUUUGACUGUGCAAAGGUAGCAUAAUCAUUAGUCUUUUAAUUGAAGGCUGGUAUGAAUGGUUGGACGAAGUAUAAUCUGUUUCAUAUGAAUUUAUAAUAGAAUUUUAUUUUUUAGUAAAAAAGCUAAAAUUUUAUUGAAAGACGAGAAGACCCUAUAAAUCUUUAUAUUUAAUAUUAUUUUAAUUUUUUGGGUUUAUUUUAUUUUUAUAAUAUUGAAUAUUUUGUUGGGGUGAUAUUAAAAUUAAAUGAACUUUUAAUUAUUUAAGAUCAUUUAUUUAUGAAUUGUUGAUCCAAUACUAUUGAUUAUAAGAUUAAGUUACUUUAGGGAUAACAGCGUAAUUUUUUUUGAGAGUUCAUAUCGACAGAAAAGUUUGCGACCUCGAUGUUGGAUUAAGGUAUAAUUUUGGGUGUAGCUGUUCAAAUAUUAAGUCUGUUCGACUUUUAAAUCCUUACAUGAUC
rnacentral:rRNA from 1 species